AGUGAACGCUGGCGGUAGGCCUAGCACAUGCAAGUCGAACGGCAGCACAGUAAGAGCUUGCUCUUACGGGUGGCGAGUGGCGGACGGGUGAGGAAUACAUCGGAAUCUACUUUUUCGUGGGGGAUAACGUAGGGAAACUUACGCUAAUACCGCAUACGACCUACGGGUGAAAGCAGGGGAUCUUCGGACCUUGCGCGAUUGAAUGAGCCGAUGUCGGAUUAGCUAGUUGGCGGGGUAAAGGCCCACCAAGGCGACGAUCCGUAGCUGGUCUGAGAGGAUAAUCAGCCACACUGGAACUGAGACACGGUCCAGACUCCUACGGGAGGCAGCAGUGGGGAAUAUUGGACAAUGGGCGCAAGCCUGAUCCAGCCAUACCGCGUGGGUGAAGAAGGCCUUCGGGUUGUAAAGCCCUUUUGUUGGGAAAGAAAAGCAGCAGGUUAAUACCCCGCUGUUCUGACGGUACCCAAAGAAUAAGCACCGGCUAACUUCGUG
rnacentral:rRNA from 1 species